ensembl:lncRNA novel transcript
CUCCUUCCCUCUUGAAGGAGAAGCCUUGAGUUGUGCAUCUUCUCUUGAUUUUACUGAGGUAUGGUAGCUAUAGCAAACUGCCUACUGCCUUUUUUUUUAACUUUUGCUCUCAGUGGCUCCAAGGCAUCGAAACUAUGCUAGUUCCAUGAGUGCUCCAAGUGAGGCAAGACAGAGACUAGUCCCUUGGGCAGCCCUCUGAAGAGCCAGAAUGCCAACACAUGCUCCACUCUUCUCCCUCCUUGCCAAGGAAGAAGUCUUAACUUGUGCACUUCCUCCCCCAAUUGUGCCAUGCUGUGCCAACCAUAUCAAGCCACCUGCUGCUUUCCAUUGUCCUCAGUGACCCCCAGACAUUCAAAUUAUGCUAGUUCUGUGGGCACACCAAUCAAGGAAGUAAGAGACCUGUUUCUUGGGCAGCUCUCUGAAAAGCUGGAAUGUUGGAGGCAUGCUCUAUUCUUUUCUCCCAGAGGAAAAAGAUGUGAAGAGGCAUUCUGUCUUGGCACUGAGCUGUGCUAACUUGGGGGAGAGGCUGAUGCAGAUUGACCUUGCUAGGUUAUAGAGGCAUGUUCUAUCGUCUUUAUUAAGAAGGUGUUUCACUCUUGUUGCCCAGGCUGAAGUGCAAUGGCACGAUCUCGGCUCACUGCAACCUCCGUCUCCCGGGUUCAAGUGAUUCUUCUGCCUCAGCCUCCCGAGUAGCUGGAAUUACAGGCAUAUGCCACCACACCCAGCUAAUUUUCCAUUUUUAGUAGGGACGGGGUUUUACCAUGUUGGUCAGGCUGGUCUUGAACUCCUGACCUCAGGUGAUCCACCUGCCUUGGUCUCCUAAAGUGCUGGGAUAGCAAGCAUGAACCGCUGCGUCUGGCCCAUUUUUCUUAUUCUUAAACAUCCUACUAAACAUUUUGGAGCUAGUUGUAUUAGGAGGUUUAUUUUCUAUGUGGAUGGAGCAGUUUAAAAAAGCUGAAAUAAGUGAAAUCUUCCAAGUGAUUUAAAAAAUUUUUAAGCCCAUGUUUCUACCUACUAAAAUUCAAAAAUAUUUACUAUAGAAGAUGACUAGUCUUCUUUAUGACAGUUAUUUUAAUUUAAAAGGAAUUAAAAGGAUAUAACUUUUCUUGAAACAUUUGCACUUAAUCAUGCUGUCAAUUCAUUAUAUGAUUUUGGAUUACUUGCUUAAUGUUUCUAUUUCUUCUCUGUUAAUACUAAUUACUCCUAAUAAUUAUAAGAAUUGUUAUUGUAUCCAAUUUAGAAAUCCUGUUAUGGAAGCUAUUUUUAUAGUGUAUUAUGAUUAAUGCAUACAAUGUCCAUGUAAACUUUCAAUUUUUAAAUGUGACACUACUUAUCUAUUGAACACUUACCAUGUGCUAGGCACUGUUCUUGAAUGCUUUAUGCAUAAAAGCACAUUUAAUCCCAUCAUAGCCAAUAAAGUAUUAUUACCUUGAUUUUACAAAUGAGAUAACUCAGAUAUGCAGACAUCGAGUAACUUGGCCAAGUAUACGUGUUAUGGAUUGAAUUGUGUCCUCCCAAUAUUCAUGUGUUGAAUCACUAACCCCUAAUGUGACUAUAUUUGGAGACAGAGUUUUUAAGGAGGUUAAUAAGUUAAAUGAGGUCACAAGUGUGGGGCUAUAAUCCAAUAGGACCAAUGACCUUCUAAGAAGAGGAAGACACACCAGGCAUGCACACGCACAGAAAAGAAGACCAUGUGAGGGCACAGCAAGAAGAUGGCCAUCUGCAAACUAAGAGGAGAGGCCUCAUUAGAACCUAACCCUGCACCAUGAUCAUGGACUUCCAGCCUUCAGAGUUAGGAAAAUAAAAUUCUGUUGUUUAUGCCACCAAAUCUGUGGUAUUCGCUUAUGAAAACCAUAGAAAAUUAUACAAUACCCAACAAGCAAAUAGCAGAAUGGAAUUAAACCCAUAAAGGAUGGCUUCAAAGGCAAUGCUUAACCACUAUACUGCCUUUAAAAAUUGUCCUAACAGUUCAACUUCAAUUACAGAAAGUUUAUAAUAAUUAGAUGUUAAUACUUUUAUGCUUAACUUUAUAUUUCUAUUUCAAAUGCUUAUUUCCUUUUCAAUAGUUAAUAUUUUCUGGACAGCAAUUCUGGACUAUUUUCUAAAUUCUCUGUUUUCUAAAUUCUUAUGUCAUGCCCUCUGUCAUAAGAAUGUUUAUACCCUAUGAUCUUCUAAAAAUAAAUCCUUAAAAGA